rnacentral:misc_RNA from 1 species
GAUGAAGAACGUAGCGAAAUGCGAUAAGUAGUGUGAAUUGCAGAAUUCAGUGAAUCAUCGAAUCUUUGAACGCACAUUGCGCCCCUUGGUAUCCCGAGGGGCAUGCCUGUUCGAGCGUCAUUUCACCACUCAAGCCUGGCUUGGUGUUGGGCGACGUCCCCUUUGGGGACGCGCCUCGAAACGCUCGGCGGCGUGGCACCGGCUUUAAGCGUAGCAGAAUCUUUCGCUUUGGAAGUCGGGGCCCCGUCUGCCGGAAGACCUACUCGCAAGGUUGACCUCGGAUCAGGCAGGGAUACCCGCUGGACUUAAGCAUAUCAAUAAGCGGAGGA